UACGUAGGGUGCAAGCGUUGUCCGGAAUUAUUGGGCGUAAAGAGCUCGUAGGCGGUUUGUUGCGUCGGCUGUGAAAUCCCGAGGCUCAACCUCGGGUCUGCAGUCGAUACGAGCAAACUAGAGUGUUGCAGGGGAGACUGGAAUUCCUGGUGUAGCGGUGAAAUGCGCAGAUAUCAGGAGGAACACCGGUGGCGAAGGCGGGUCUCUGGGCAACAACUGACGCUGAGGAGCAAAAGCGUGGGGAGCGAACAGG
rnacentral:rRNA from 1 species